rnacentral:rRNA from 1 species
GAUGAACGCUGGCGGCGUGCUUAACACAUGCAAGUCGAACGGAACUACUCCAAUGAGAGUCUUCGGAAAGGAUUUGGUUUAGUUUAGUGGCGGACGGGUGAGUAACGCGUGGGUAACCUGCCCUAUACAGGGGGAUAACAGUUGGAAACGACUGUUAAUACCGCAUAAGCGCACAGGAGCGCAUGCUCCGGUGUGAAAAACUCCGGUGGUAUAGGAUGGACCCGCGUCUGAUUAGCUGGUUGGCGGGGUAACGACCCACCAAGGCGACGAUCAGUAGCCGGCCUGAGAGGGUGAACGGCCACAUUGGGACUGAGACACGGCCCAAACUCCUACGGGAGGCAGCAGUGGGGAAUAUUGCACAAUGGGGGAAACCCUGAUGCAGCGACGCCGCGUGAGCGAAGAAGUAUCUCGGUAUGUAAAGCUCUAUCAGCAGGGAAGAAAAUGACGGUACCUGACUAAGAAGCCCCGGCUAACUACGUG